rnacentral:lncRNA from 1 species
AUAAUAUCUAAACAUUCUUUAUGGCAUUUUUGAUACACCUUCUUAUCAAGUAAUGUACCUCAUAUAUCAAGAUUACAUUUCUGUAGAAAAUAGAAUAAUCAAAAAUCAAACAUGAUCUUAUAUCCUCUCUCAAGUAGGAGUCUACACACCUCCAGGUGUCCUUUCUCUUCAGCAGAUUGAAAAGGUAAUAUCUAACAUUCUUGGUUGCCUCUUUGUUAUACCCUCUUAAAAGUAAUUGACGUGUAUAUCUAAUAUCAAGUUUUCUUGAUUAAAAGGAAUAAAUGCACUGUGUUCUAUUUUUAAUGUAACCAGUUUCUGCUUCCUAUCCAAUUUACCUUCAGAUGUUAGAGAUUGGGCUUAUGCUUCUUCUUUUGUUGGCAUUUCCUGUAUUUAACAAAAAUGAAGGCCUCAUAUAUAUACUAUUCAUACAAAUAAUUGGUUAUGUUAAAGCAGAAAUCAUUAAUUUUUCCACGGUUAUUGUAAUAAUGCUUUUAACAUAUUUUAUAGAGAGGCAUAUUUUAACUGAUUAUUAGUGCAUAAUUAUUUAAAUUCUAUUUCAAAAUAUAAAAAUCUUAACAUUCUUAUAAUAAAUAUAAUAAUAAUGUAAAUACACAAAUAGGAUUUUAUAUUGAAUUUGGUGACUGAAUACAAGUUUUAAAAUAUAUAGCUUCAAUUUUAUACUAUUUAAAUCAUGCAGUGCUAAUACCAUGUCUGCUGAUAGUGCAGUCCACACAAACAGCGGGUUUUUUUAAAAUGUAGUCAGAUGUUUCUACUUGUUCCUUUUCUCACCUGGAUCAAUAAAAAUCCACUCUUUUGUCUCAAUAUCAAGGCCACAUCGACCUUUAACAAGAGAAAUUCCAUCAGUCGGAUGUCGCCUUUCUGGUAUAACAUCCCCAGCUAGCAGCUUCACAUGCCUUAUUCUUUGAUGUCAUUUGUUUCCAAAUACCUAAAAUAAUAGUAUUGAUUUAGUACAUUUACACUUAACAUUUAGAUAGUAUGUACAUUGUUGUUCUAAAUGGUAUUUUCACAUCAGGUAUUAUAUGUACUUCUCAUUACUACUGCAAAUUUUUAAUCUUAUGAUACUCUUAGCAUAUAGGUUCAAACUCCAGGUUCAAUAAAAUAUAUUUUUUUAACACAUUUAAAAAAAUAUCUAACAUUUUUUAUGGAUUUUUUGAUACACCUUCUUAUCAAUUAAUUGGCAUGUACCUCAUAUAUCAAGAUUACGUUUCUGUAGAAAAUGGAAUAAUCAAAAAUCAAACAUGAUUUUUACAUCCUUUCUCAAGUAGAAGUCGACACACUUCCACAUGUCUUUUCUCUUCAGCAGAUUGAGGAGGUAAUAUCUAACAUUUUGUGGGCCUUUUUGUUACACCCUUUUAAAAAUAAUUAAAAUAAUAAAAUAUAUUUUUUAAAUACAUCAGCUAGUGGUAAGACUGGGAAAAUAAUAUCUAAACAUUCUUUAUGGCAUUUUUGAUACACCUUCUUAUCAAGUAAUGUACCUCAUAUAUCAAGAUUACAUUUCUGUAGAAAAUAGAAUAAUCAAAAAUCAAACAUGAUCUUACAUCCUCUCUCAAGUAGGAGUCUACACACCUCCAGGUGUCCUUUCUCUUCAGCAGAUUGAGGAGGUAAUAUCUAACAUUCUUGGUUGCCUCUUUGUUAUACCCUCUUAAAAGUAAUUGACGUGUAUAUCUAAUAUCAAGAUUUUCUGAUUAAAAGGAAUAAAUGCACUGUGUUCUAUUUUUAAUGUAACCAGUUUCUGCUUCCUUUCCAAUUUACCUUCAGGUGUAAGAGAUUGGGCUUAUGCUUCUACUUUUGUUAAAAUGUUUUCUCUAUUUUAAAAAAUGAAGGCCUCCUUUAUUUACCAUUCAUACAAAUAAUUGGUUAUGUUAAAGCAGGAAUUAUUAAUUUUUCCAUGUUCAUAGUGAUAAUGCCUUUAACAUAUUUUAUAGAGAGGCAUAUUUUAACUGAUUAUUAGUGCAUAAUUAUUUAAAUUCUAUUUUAAAAUAUAAAAACCUUAACAUCCUGAUAAUAAGUAUAAUGAUAAUUUAAAUACUUUCAUACACAAAUAGGAUUUAACAUUUAGUUUGAUGACUGAAUAGAAGUUUUAAAGUAUAUAGCUACAAUGUGAUACUAUUUAAAUCAUGCAGUGCUAUACCAUGUCUGCUGAUGGUGCGGUCCACACAAGCAGCACUUUUUUUAAUGUAGUCAGAUAUUUCCACUUGUUUCUUUUCUCACCUGGAUCAAAACAAUUCCAAUCUUUUGUCACAAUAUCGAGGCCACAGCGACCUUCCACAAGAGAAAUUCCAUCAGUCGGAUGUCGCCCUUCUGGUAUAACAUCCCCAGUUAGCAGCUUCACAUGCCUUAUUCUUUGAUGUCAUUUGUUUCCAAAUACCUAAAAUAAUAGUAUUGAUUUAGUACAUUUACACCUAACAUUGAGAUAGUAUGUACAUUGUUGUUGUAAAUGAUUUUUUUACACCAUGUAUAAUAUAUAUACUUCUGAUAACUACUGCAAAUUUUCAAUCUUAUGAUACUCUCAGCAUAUAGGUUCAAAUUUCAGGUUCAAUAAAAUAUUUUUUUUUUAAACACAGCAGCUUGUGGUCACACUGGGAAAAUAAUAUCUAAUAUACUUUAUGGCAUUUUUGAUACACCUUUUUAUCAAAUAAUUGGCAUGUACCUCAUAUAUCAAGAUUACAUUCCUGUAGAAAAUGGUAUAAUCAAAAAUUAAACAUGAUUUUACAUCCUUUCUCAAGUAGAAGUCGACACACUUCCACAUGUCUUUUCUCUUCAGCAGAUUGAGGAGGUAAUAUCUAACAUUUUGUGGGGCCUUUUUGUUACACCCUUUUAAAAGUAAUAGACAUUUAUAUCUUAUAUCAAGAUUUCUUGAUUAAAAGGAAUUAUUGCACUGUGUUCUAUCUUGAAUGGAACCAGUUUCUGCUGCCUUUCCAAUUUACCUGCAAGUGUUAGAGGUUGGGUGUAUGCUUUUGCUUUUGUUGACAUAUUUUCUGUAUUUAAAAAAAAAUGAAGGCCAUGUUUAUAUACCAUUCAUACUAUACUGCAAAUUUUUCAUCUUAUGGUACUCUCAGCACAUGGGUUCAAUGAAAUAUAUUAAACACAUCAGCUAGUGGUCAGACUAAGAAGAUAAUAUCUACAAUUCUUAAUUGCGUUUUUGUUACUUUCUCUGUUGGCAUGUACCUCAUAUACCAAGAUUAAAUUUCUGUAGAAAAUGGAAUAAUCAAAAAUCAAACAUGAUUUUACAUCCUCUCUCAAGUAGGAGUCUACAGACCUCCAGAUGUCCUUUCUCUUCAGCAGAUUGAGGAAAAUAUAUCUAACAUUCUUUAUGGCCUUUUUUUUUUUGGCCCUCUAUUAAGUAAUUUAUGUGUAAGUCUUAUAUCAAGAUUUCUGGUAUAAGAGGAAUAAUUGGGACUUAGGGGGUAAUCUCUUUUAUUCUUUGUGUUACAUCCUCUCUCAAGUAGAAGUCGACACACUUCCAGAUGUCCUUUCUCUUCGUCAGAUUAAGGAGGUAAUAUCUAACAUUCUUAAUGGUCUUUAUUUUUUGCCCUCUAUUAAGUAAUUUAUGUGUAUGUCUUAUAUCAAGAUUUCUGGUAUAAGAGGAAUAAUCGGGACUGAAGGGGGUAAUAUCUAUUAUUCUUUGUGUUACAUCCUCUCUCAAGUAGAAGUCGACAGACCUCCAGGUGUCCUUUCUUAUCAGCAAAAUAUGAAUUCUCUAUGUCUUUACACUUGGAAUAAUAUAUUUAUAUUAAAAAAACAAGUAUAAUUAAAUGAGCAGCAUGAGACUAAAAGUAAAUUGAUUAUAAAAAAAUGUCUGUAGAAACAUUGAUUUAAUAAAAAUAUUUUUGCAAAUUUGUUAUAAUGAUAAAAGUAAAAAAAAAAUAAGUACAAUGAGAAGAGUAAAAUGAGAGCCAACUUUAAAUAAUGCCAAUAAAUAUUUCUUACAUUAAAGAAGAUAUUAGAUUUGUAUACUGUGGAUUCAUUUAGUUUCGUGAGUACCAAUUUUCGUGGAUGGAGAAAAACUUGCAUACUCUUGGAUAUUUCUUGGUUUUCUAAGUCUACGGUACAUAUAAUCAUAAAGAAAAUUUGUAAUUCAUUGGACAUUAAAGUUUGUAGUUUCCCUUUACCCUUGAAAUCCACAUUAAUUGGUAUCCAAUGAAUAAUAAGGAAUCCACACAAACUAGUUCUUACUGACUUAAAAUGUUAACACACCCUCACCAAUGGAUAAUUCUUAAUUUAUGAUGUAUGAAAUAGAAGGUUUAUAUUAUAUACAUAUUGAUUAUAUAUUUUUUAACAUGUUGAUGUCUUUUUGUUGUUAAUUACAGAGAACAAAUGUUUGUAAAUCUAGACUCAAGAUAAUUGUAUGGAUUAUAGUUGUAAAAAAAUUACUGUGGAUUCAUUUAUUUUUCGGUGGAAUUAAAUUAUGUGGACUAGGAACUUACAGUUACUUUGAUAUUUAAUUUCUUAGUUUUAUGGGAGUUUUCCUCCAAUAAUACAAGCCAGUAAAAACAUUUAAUUCAUCAUACAUCCACCAAAUCCACAAAAAUUGGUAUUCAAUGAGUAAUGAUGAAUCCACAGUAAUUGUUUAAAAGGCAUUUCAUAUAUUCGUAUAGAAAUUGUAAUUUUGCUUUGACAAAUUGUUUCGAAGAUUCUUGAAAAAUUUUGAUUAAUAGUUUAAAUCUUAUUUUAGAAUAAUAGUCUUAAGAGUCUGCAUUUGAACUGUAGUCAUACUGCAUAAGUGAAUCAUUUUAUAAUUAUCUCUGGUUAAUUUUAUUGAUUCUGUCAUGCUCAGGUGCUGAACUUCUAGUAUUCCAAUGUGUGACCUGAAAUUAAAAAGAAGGACACGUACAGAAGAGACAUUCUGAAUUUUAGGGUGAUGUCUCUGAAUUUAUUGAAACAUAUCCUGUCUCUUUUUUUAUGUAUUGACUUUGAAUUCAGAAUUUUUAGUAAUGUUUUUAUAUUUGCAAGAAAUAACAAAAUACUAAGUUUCACACAACAACAAAAUUAGCAUUUUGAAUUUUAAAAGCAUUAUUUUCCUAAAAUUGCAAUUUUAAUUCAUCUCACUUUUUUGUCCAUUUCUCAAAAGUUGCAAUGAUAAAUACAUUUUAAAAUUUCUGAAUUUGUAGUAUUUUGUUAUUGUGAUUCUUGUAAAAAAGAUGUCAAAAGAUUAGUUUUUCUAUUUGUAUUUUUACUAUGUUACCAUAAUACACAUAAUUCCAUUCUGGUGUUUAUGCUAGCAAUAAUCACUCAUUUUAGUGUCAGAUAUUUUUUACACCACCUUGUUGAAGGAUCGGGUACAGAAUCAGUAGCUCUUCCUCCCUAAUAACUCAUCACUAUUUUUAAACAUUAUUAUUGUACUUUGUGCUAACAAUUAUAUUUUUAAAAUGGCAAAAGGUAUCCAUUUGUAUAGAAAAAUGUAACAACAAAUCAUUAUUCGAGGAUGUACAUCUAAAAUAAGUAUUGAAAUUUGAUAAACAUAUAAAUAUCUAUUCCUUUUGAAAUCAACAUCUUUACUGUGUAAAUUUCUGCUUUAUAAUGUACAAUUGAUAAGCAGUGUGUUAGUUUUAAAGUAAUUCAUUUUUAACAAGGAAUGAUUUUACCUCAGUUUUUAUGAAUAAAAACAUUGCAUAUAUAGAUCAGUCUUUGUUCAAUUUCCUGACUCCUGUCUGAAAGGAGAACAGCAUCAUAUUUUCUAUGUCUUUACCAUGUUUACAUCCAACAAUAAAAUAGAACAGUGGGAAAAGAUACUAGAGGGACUUUCAAACUCAUAAGUCGAUAAAAAAUGCCAUGGUUAAAAAAAGAAAAAGACUAACAGACAAACAUAGAAAUCUAAAGAUCAACAUGAACCCACCAAAAUCUGGGAGUCGUGAUCUCAUAUGCUUUAGAAGGAUAAGCAGAUCCUGCUCCACAUGUUGCACCAGUUGUGUUGCUCAUUUAAUUACAAACACGAUAAUGUGGUAGGUCACAUUAGUAAAGUAAAGUAAAGUAA